GAACGCUAGCGGCAGGCUUAAUACAUGCAAGUCGUGGGGCAGCAUGAGUAGCAAUACUUGAUGGCGACCGGCAAACGGGUGAGGAACACGUACACAACCUUCCUUCAAGCGGGGAAUUGCCCAGAGAAAUUUGGAUUAAUACCCCAUAAUAUAUUUGAUAAGGCAUCUUAUUAAUAUUAAUGCUUCGGCACUUGAUGAUGGGUGUGCGGCUGAUUAGAUAGUUGGCGGGGUAACGGCCCACCAAGUCUACGAUCAGUAGCUGAUGUGAGAGCAUGAUCAGCCACACGGGCACUGAGACACGGGCCCGACUCCCACGGGAGGCAGCAGUAAGGAAUAUUGGACAAUGGACGAAAGUCUGAUCCAGCCAUGCCGCGUGAAGGAUUAAGGUCCUCUGGAUUGUAAACUUCUUUUAUAUGGGACGAAAAAGGGCAUUCUUGUUCACUUGACGGUACCAUAUGAAUAAGCACCGGCUAACUCCGUG
rnacentral:rRNA from 1 species